UACGUAGGGUGCAAGCGUUAAUCGGAAUUACUGGGCGUAAAGGGCACGCAGGCGGUUGUGUCAGUUUGCGGGGACAGUGGGCGGCUUAACUGCCCAAGGGUCGCAAAGACGGCACGACUGGAGAGCGAGAGAGGGACCUGGAAUUCCGGGUGGAGCGGUGAAAUGCGUAGAGAUCCGGAGGAACACCACUGGCGCAGGCAAGGUCCUGGCGCGUAUCUGACGCUGAGGUGCGAAAGCUAGGGGAGCGAACGGG
rnacentral:rRNA from 1 species